rnacentral:rRNA from 1 species
AGCCUACUCUAGCCCAACCACACCUUGCAAGCCCAGUAACAAGAAUCUAUUCCACCACCUAACUAAAACAUUCUUUAAACUCAGUAUAGGCGAUAGAAAAGACCCAUUUGGAGCGAUAGAGACUCUGUACCGUAAGGGAAAGAUGAAAUAAUAAUGAAAAACCAAGCAGUAGACAGCAAAGAUAAAUCCUUGUACCUUUUGCAUCAUGGUUUAGCAAGAAUAACCAAGCAAAAUGAAUUUAAGCUUGCCAUCCCGAAACCCAAGCGAGCUACCUGCGAGCAGCUACCCAUGAGCGAACCCGUCUCUGUUGCAAAAGAGUGGGACGACUUGCUAGUAGAGGUGAAAAGCCAAUCGAGCUGGGUGAUAGCUGGUUGCCUGUGAAAUGAAUCUUAGUUCUCUCUUGACCCUCCUCUCCGGAUAUUUACCCUAACCCACAUGAGUGCGUCAAGAGCAACUUAAAGGAGGUACAGCUCCUUUAAAAAAGAAUACAACCUCUAUUAGUGGAUAACCAUCUAAAAUCCUUCUCAAACUGUAGGCCCUCAAGCAGCCAUCAACAAAGAGUGCGUCAAAGCUCCUCGCAUAAAAAUCCAAUAACUACAUGACUCCCUUUCCACUAACAGGCUAAUCUAUACCAAUAGAAGCAUUAAUGCUAAAAUGAGUAACUGGGGCGCCCCCCUCCAAGCGCAAACUUACACACUCACUUUAUUAACAGACACUACCCAAUAUCUCAAUUACAACAAGAUUUAGAUAUUAAGCUUACCCUGUUACCCCAACUAAGGAGCGCCUACUAGGAAGAUUAAAGUCUGUAAAAGGAACUAGGCAAACCCAAGGCCCGACUGUUUACCAAAAACAUAGCCUUCAGCCCACCAAGUAUUGAAGGUGAUGCCUGCCCAGUGACAUAAUGUUUAACGGCCGCGGUAUCCUAACCGUGCGAAGGUAGCGCAAUCAAUUGUCCCAUAAAUCGAGACUUGUAUGAAUGGCUAAACGAGGUCUUAACUGUCUCUUACAGAUAAUCAGUGAAAUUGAUCUCCCUGUGAAAAAGCAGGAAUCCCUACAUAAGACGAGAAGACCCUGUGGAACUUGAAAAUCAACGGCCACUGCGCACAAAUUCAAGCCUACUAGGCUCAUUACCCCUAAAAACUGGUCCGUAUUUUUCGGUUGGGGCGACCUUGGAGAAAAACAAAUCCUCCAAAAAUAGGACCACAUCUCCUAACCAAGAGCAACCCCUCAACGUACUAACAGUAACCAGACCCAAUACAAUUGAUAAAUGGACCAAGCUACCCCAGGGAUAACAGCGCAAUCUCCUCUAAGAGCCCACAUCGACGAGGGGGUUUACGACCUCGAUGUUGGAUCAGGACAUCCUAAUGGUGCAGCCGCUAUUAAGGGUUCGUUUGUUCAACGAUUAAUAGUCCUACGUGAUCUGAGUUCAGACCGGAGCAAUCCAGGUCGGUUUCUAUCUAUGAUAAACUUUCCCCAGUACGAAAGGACCGAGAAAGUGGGGCCAAUACUACAAGCAUGCCCCCUCCCCAAGUAAUGUACUCAACUAAAUUACUAAAGGACAUCCCACACUACUACUCCUAGAAAAGGACCA